GUAGAAUUCCCUCGGUCCCAAAAUUCUUGUCUUACAUUUGUUUAGAUAUGGAUGUAUCUAACACUAAAAUGUAACUAGAUACAUCCGUAUUUAGACAAAUUUAAGACAAGAAUUUUGGGACAGAGGGAGUACAAA
rfam:Triticum aestivum genome assembly, contig: Triticum_aestivum_CS42_TGACv1_scaffold_049450_1BS